AACGAACGCUGGCGGCGUGGAUAAGACAUGCAAGUCGAGCGCUGAUUUGAAGGUAGCAAUAUUUUCAAGUCGGAGCGGCGCAAGGGUGCGUAACACGUGGGAAUCUGCCUUGAAGUGUGGGAUAACUCCGAGAAAUCGGAGCUAAUACCGCAUGUGAUCGUGAGAUCAAAGUUGGGGAUCGCAAGACUCGACGCUUCAAGAUGAGCCCGCGGCCUAUCAGCUAGUUGGUGAAGUAAUGGCUCACCAAGGCUAAGACGGGUAGCUGGUCUGAGAGGACGACCAGCCACACUGGAACUGAGACACGGUCCAGACACCUACGGGUGGCAGCAGUCGAGAAUUUUUCACAAUGGGCGAAAGCCUGAUGGAGCGACGCCGCGUGGGGGAUGAAUGGCUUCGGCCCGUAAACCCCUGUCAUUUGCGAACAAAUUGGUUCACCUAACACGUAAACCAUUGAUUGUAGCGGAAGAGGAAGGGACGGCUAACUCUGUGCCAGCAGCCGCGGUAAUAC
rnacentral:rRNA from 1 species